rnacentral:rRNA from 1 species
GACGAACGCUGUCGGCGUGCUUAACACAUGCAAGUCGAACGGAAAGGCCCUGCUUUUGUGGGGUGCUCGAGUGGCGAACGGGUGAGUAACACGUGAGUAACCUGCCCUUGACUUUGGGAUAACUUCAGGAAACUGGGGCUAAUACCGGAUAGGAGCUCCUGCUGCAUGGUGGGGGUUGGAAAGUUUCGGCGGUUGGGGAUGGACUCGCGGCUUAUCAGCUUGUUGGUGGGGUAGUGGCUUACCAAGGCUUUGACGGGUAGCCGGCCUGAGAGGGUGACCGGCCACAUUGGGACUGAGAUACGGCCCAGACUCCUACGGGAGGCAGCAGUGGGGAAUAUUGCACAAUGGGCGGAAGCCUGAUGCAGCAACGCCGCGUGCGGGAUGACGGCCUUCGGGUUGUAAACCGCUUUCGCCUGUGACGAAGCGUGAGUGACGGUAAUGGGUAAAGAAGCACCGGCUAACUACGUGCCAGCAGCCGCGGUGAUACGUAGGGUGCGAGCGUUGUCCGGGUUUAUUGGGCGUAAAGGGCUCGUAGGUGGUUGAUCGCGUCGGAAGUGUAAUCUUGGGGCUUAACCCUGAGCGUGCUUUCGAUACGGGUUGACUUGAGGAAGGUAGGGGAGAAUGGAGUUCCUGGUGGAGCGGUGGAAUGCGCAGAUAUCAGGAGGAACACCAGUGGCGAAGGCGGUUCUCUGGGCCUUUCCUGACGCUGAGGAGCGAAAGCGUGGGGAGCGAACAGGCUUAGAUACCCUGGUAGUCCACGCUGUAAACGGUGGGUACUAGGUGUGGGGUCCAUUCCACGGGUUCCGUGCCGUAGCUAACGCUUUAAGUACCCCGCCUGGGGAGUACGGCCGCAAGGCUAAAACUCAAAGGAAUUGACGGGGCCCCGCACAAGCGGCGGAGCAUGCGGACUAAUUCGAUGCAACGCGUAGAACCUUACCUGGGUUUGACAUGGAUCGGGAGUGCUCAGAGAUGGGUGUGCCUCUUUUGGGGUCGGUUCACAGGUGGUGCAUGCCUGUCGUCAGCUCGUGUCGUGAGAUGUUGGGUUAAGUCCCGCAACGAGCGCAACCCUUGUUCACUGUUGCCAGCACGUUAUGGUGGGGACUCAGUGGAGACCGCCGGGGUCAACUCGGAGGAAGGUGGGGAUUACGUCAAGCCAUCAUGCCCCUUAUGUCCAGGGCUUCACGCAUGCUACAAUGGCUGGUACAGAGAGUGGCGAGCCUGUGAGGGUGAGCGAAUCUCGGAAAGCCGGUCUCAGUUCGGAUUGGGGUCUGCAACUCGACCUCAUGAAGUCGGAGUCGCUAGUAAUCGCAGAUCAGCAACGCUGCGGUGAAUACGUUCCCGGG